rnacentral:rRNA from 1 species
GACGAACGCUGGCGGCGUGCUUAACACAUGCAAGUCGAACGGAAAGGCCCUGCUUGCAGGGUACUCGAGUGGCGAACGGGUGAGUAACACGUGGGUGAUCUGCCCUGCACUUCGGGAUAAGCCUGGGAAACUGGGUCUAAUACCGGAUAGGAGCCAUUUUUAGUGUGAUGGUUGGAAAGUUUUUUCGGUGUAGGAUGAGCUCGCGGCCUAUCAGCUUGUUGGUGGGGUAAUGGCCUACCAAGGCGGCGACGGGUAGCCGGCCUGAGAGGGUGGACGGCCACAUUGGGACUGAGAGACGGCCCAGACGCCUACGGGAGGCAGCAGUGGGGAAUAUUGCACAAUGGGCGCCAGCCUGAUGCAGCGACGCCGCGUGGGGGAUGACGGCCUUCGGGUUGUAGACUCCUUUCGCUAGGGACGAAGCUUUUUGUGACGGUACCUAGAGAAGAAGCACCGGCUAACUACGUG